rnacentral:lncRNA from 1 species
UGGAUACGCAGCUAUUUUCCGUACAUACAGAUCUUAUACUCUCUUUCUUCCGAAAAGAAUAGGGACGCAAUGCAAAGCUUCAUGGGAAUAAUUGUGAACGCAAGUUCAGUGUUGUACAAUUUUCCUACAUUGAGUUAAAAUAUAAUUCAGAUUCCUUACUCACAAGGCUUUAUGCGGCACAUGUAAAUGAACAGUCAAAUAAUAUGUUCAAGCUUAAAAGUUCUAUAGGUUUUUAUUCCAUAUGAAUGUUAUUUUCCUACAGUAGGAUCGAAGAUAUGAUUCGAAUCUU